rnacentral:rRNA from 1 species
AUACGUAGGUGACAAGCGUUAUCCGGAUUUACUGGGCGUAAAGGGCGUGUAGGCGGUCUUGCAAGUCAGAAGUGAAAUUCCUGAGCUCAACUCGGGCGCUGCUUCUGAAACUGCAGGACUUGAGUGCUGGAGGGGAUAGCGGAAUUCCUGGUGGAGCGGUAAAAUGCGCAGAUAUUAGGAAGAACACCGGUGGCGAAGGCGGCUAUCUGGACAGUAACUGACGCUGAGGCGCGAAAGCGUGGGGAGCAAACAGGAUUAGAUACCCUGGUAGUCCCCGCCGUAAACGAUGAAUACUAGGUGUAGGGGGUAUCGACUCCCUCUGUGCCGCAGUUAACACAAUAAGUAUUCCGCCUGGGGAGUACGGCCGCAAGGUUGAAACUCAAAUGAAUUGACGGGG